GUAUUUACCUCCCACGCCUCGGUCCUCCUCUUUCACCUCCUCGCGCCUCUCCUCCCCUCCCCCGGCGCGCUGAGCCCGUGCUCGGAGAGAAGAAAAACCUCCACCCACCCUCGUUGGAAUCCUUCGAAGCCUCCGAGUCUUUGGAGAGGAUCAGAAACAAAUAUGGUUUGCUGCCGAUCGAUGCUCUCUUCUUCUUCUUCUUGAGUUCUUAUAUCCUUCGUGUGUGCUGUAGGCGCUUCCGAACCAGAAGACGGUGGAUUACCCUAGCUUCAAGCUCCUAAUCGUUGGGGACGGUGGGACAGGAAUUGUCUUUUUAAGAAGCCCCGUAACCUGCUAAUAUGCAGCAGGGAAGACUGCCUUCGUCAAGAGGCAUCUUACCGGGGAAUUUGAGAAGAAAUACGAAUCUGCUAUUGUUGUUGAAGUCCAUCCCUGGGAUUUCCACGCCAAUUGCAGGAAGAUCCGGUUCUGCUGCUGGGAUACUGCGGGAGAGGAGAAGUUUGGUGGGCUAAGGGAUGGAUAUUAGCGAGUCAUUG